CCAAAACCGCCCAACUCCAAAACAAUUAAAAAGAAACAAACUUUUUGAUCUUGUUCAUUUGAUUGUAGUUUCAAAUAUGAUAUAUUGCACCGGACAGUCUAUAACAAUUUGGAUGGCGCAAUCGUUAUUCAGGCUAGUGGCGGUGCUUGUGGAAGAUCCAGCGGCGUCGGUGACAACCAUGCUCUACCGUAGCGGUAUUCUUCCUCAAUAUACCAUUCUUGAAAGGUUGGUUCAUCAUGGUGUGUUUUUUGAUGACAACCCUUUCUUUAGUUUUAUUGUUAACUUCUUGAGAUGUUUAUGGUGGACAACACUUUCAAGCACCUUAGUUUUGUUUCUUUCUUUUCUUUAGUAUUCUAUGUCACGGAUAGGUGAAAUGAACGGUUAAAUAUGUUACGUUACAAAAUAAUGAGUAGUAUCAUACACGUAGCUUUGAUGUUGAAUAGCGUGAAGUGUAUAAACUUAGUUCAAUCUAGUGUUGUAUGAAUAAUGAAUUCGAAAUUGACUAUGUUUUCAAAGGUGAACGACUAAAGAUGAA